rnacentral:ncRNA from 2 species
UGGUAUAAUUUUUCAAUCGGUUCCGAAGGGGAGCAGCCUUCAGACGUAAGGGGGAAAGUAUUCGGUGUAAGUCCGGCACUGUCCCGCAGCUGUAAUCUCAAAUUUGUAAUUCACAAUCUGUAAUUUCAAAAUUAUAGUUUCAAAAUCAUAGUUUAAAAAUUGUAAUUUCAAAUUGAGUAAGUCAGAAUGCCCGCCGAUAAUUGCGUUUAUUU